rnacentral:lncRNA from 1 species
CCCUUCUCCAACAAUGGAUCCGCGCCGACGAUCCCAUAUUGCCCAAGGUCCACACUGCCACCCAGUCCACGAAGGACGGCGGACGCGCCCGACUCCCCCACCAUGCCCCUGCCAUUGUCAAGGUCCUCCAUCUCCCCCUUCUCUUGUUGGUUGGAACCAAUCUUAGUAUUACAAUAUUCUACAAAUGCUAUUCGUUUGCCUAUCAUUUGAUUUGUGACUACUCGUUGCAUCAAAACAUUAGUAUAUAUGUAACAUGAGUCAUUGAUACCCACUGUAAAAAUUCUCGUGGUAAAUAUUUGUGUGAUGGUCUUAUUCGGUUAAUUCCCUCGCUCGCUAGCCCUCGUUUAAACUAGACUCUGUUCUGCAAUAUCUCUUCAUGUGUCAUAAUGAUAUAAACAUGAGCUUCAUAAUUUAGGCAUUUAACAUUAUAAUUAAAUGCUAUUUGGGCACUUCAACAUGUUAGAAAUUGGGUGGUUUAUUAUUAUUCUAACUGCACUAAAAUUAUAUAUGGUUGAUGGACUGCAUCAUCAUAACAUGACAUAGUUAUCCGAUAAAAGUCACUUAGCAAGUGGGAUGAUAUUCAUGUUCCUGCACUGUUUUAUCAAGUGUGAUUUUCAUUUGAGAAGGCAAAAGAGAGGUCUAACAGGAGUGUUCUUACUUCUGUCAUUCUGUGAAGUCAAUCAUUGCAUGAUUUCUAGUUUUUUGUUGUAGCCUUUAGGUUAGGUUUUUCUUUUGCAGGCAUAUUACCUGAUUGGCAGUGAGCUGCAUCCAACAAUAAAAGAACAGAUGCUAUCUGAGUCCGUCAAGAAAUUGCUCCCAUUAAGUUGAGAUCAAUCAAGUUAGUUACUAGGGACCUGGACGCCGUUCAAGACAGAUCCAUUUCUCAUGCAUGUGAAACCUAGGCAUGCAUACUUCUGUUCAUCAUAUACUUGUUUAAAUGUGGGGUUCAUCCUAAAGGUCCUCACAUCUCACUCUUUUAUUUCAGGAAACUGAGAGAUGUGCAUCUGUGCAAUAUAUUUGCUCAGCUCAGCAUAGUCUCAACUAAGUCCUGAAGCUGCUUGUGGUAAGCCACCGGUUCUCUCCUCUGCCCUCUCCCUCUACUACUCUCUCUCUCUCUCUCACUCACACACACACAGUCACAGUCACACACACACAUGACUUGCGUGUCCACGGCCAUCGAGCCGUGGUAAUUUUUAUUCUGGCAAUCAUGCCAUGUUCUUGGUUUCUUCAUAUGUCGGUCAUCAUAUAAUGUCAAACGUAUUCUGCUUUUCAUCAUCAGUAUUUAAAUGCUUGUUUCAGGGUUAUUGGAAGGUACUUUUGUAUCAAUUUAGACAUCAAGGAGCUUACUACGCUAUCAUUGUUCAUGUUUUUGGCCUUGGUCACCAUAAAUAUUGUCCUGUCCAUGUUAUUUAGCUCCAGUCAUUGUAGCAUCAAACACCUCUUGUAGGAAUAUUCAGCCUGCCCAAGUUGUACUUUGCAUUUGUUGUACGCAUCUGCUGGUUAUAUUCCUUGAGUGUGUCUUUCUGCAUUCAAAAUAAGUUCUUAAAUCCGUAUCAAGUUGGUUGCUUUGUGUGUUUACUGAUAUAAUAUUAUCUGCCUAGUUUGAGGAUUCCAAUUUUCUCACACUCUCCGCAUUCUUAUACAUCUUGUUAUCACUGUUAGCCAUCUAGAUGCAGUAUGCUGACAACUCAACUAGGUUUUCUAAUUUCCCAAAAUAAAAACAAACUGGGUUGUCUAAUUGCUUGUUAAACAGACAAACGACAAUGAUGUCUCAUGAAGCUUCAGACUUCUCAUAUACAACAUUUAUAUGCAGCACAGUAUGUAGUUCAAGUAAAAUGCUGAUGUUGUGCUUGUCCUUGUGCAGGAUAUGGUACAACAUCAUCAACGAUGAAGAGGAUAAGGGGUUAAUCGUGCCAGGCAAUGUGGGUGGUGGUAGGCUUGGUCUUCGUCUUCGGCAUUUUCAUUGGCCCCAGUGCAGUGCGGGUGAGGCAAUGCUGUUUGGCAUGAGCUACGAAAUAGCCAUGGUGAGCUCCUCUCCUUCCUCUGCUAAUUCAAGUUAAUAUGCAUGCGAUGUUCAAGAUUCUCUUAUGUAUGGUUUUAGACAUUUAGAACUGGGGUUCAAUGGGUUAAGAACAUUCAGUUAUUAGUAUGUGCUAAUUCAAGUAACUGCUUUUUUGAGAUGGCUGUGAUGUUCACUUUCUUUAUGAUCUAUUGUGUUUUUGCACCUUUGAUGUGUUGUAUCUAUAGUGGUUUAUGCACCGUAAUGGUUGAUUGACUGCAUCAUAACAUGAUGUAGUUGUAUCAUAGAAGUAACUUAGCAAGUGGGAUAUCAUACAUGUUCCUGCACGGUUUGUCAAGUGGUUUUUAUUUGAGAAGGCAAAAGCGAGGUAUAACACGAAUGCUUUGCUACACAUGGUAAAAAUUGUGUCUUCUUCCCGCGAUUAAACUGCAGUUGAGGCUAUUUUCUGGACACUUGCAGUUUCAUUUCGAGCUUGGUAGACUUUUGAGAGGUUUGAAAACAUGUGUUGUACUCAGAUAGAUCGUAUAACGCUGUACUUAUUUUCUGGUAUUUUGUAUAAACAGAUCAAUAUUCUGUUCUUAUUUUCAGUUAUUGUCGACAUGAGGUCUAUAUCUCCAUGAUUGUUGUGCUUCUGUUAAUAUGAUGCAGAUUUUUGUGUUCUUAUGUAAGCUACCUUUUUUUAUAUUUUAACGAAGUGCUAAACUUGUGAUUGUUAUUUUCAGCCUCAUGUUUUAUGAGCCCAGAUGUUCCUCUUUAACAUUUGGAUGGGCAACCUGUUGCAAGUGCUCAAGGGGUGUUCGGAGCAUAUACUUCCCAAGGUCGACAUUGUGAUGCAUGGCAGUUAGUUUAGAAGUGUUUUGUAUAGCAACACUAGCUGACAUGUAGUCUGGUCUGUAGCUGAUUGUAUAUGCAUGUCGAAAUAUCCUGACCAUUUUAUGCAACUUAAUCUAGCUUUUUAUUGGAUUGAUGGGUGGUAUGAAUAUGAUGCAUGAUAAAUAAUUUUGAAUUAUGGCUGGUAUAAAUACAAAUUUGUCGUGUGUUACUAGGGCAACAUGGCAAAUAUUUAAAAAUUCAAAUUGCUGCUAUAUAUAUAG